rnacentral:rRNA from 1 species
CAAUAGCGUAUAUUAAAGUUGUUGCAGUUAAAACGCUCGUAGUCGGAUUUCGGGGCGGGGCCGCCGGUCUGCCGAUGGGUAUGCACUGGCGGGCGCGUCCUUCCUUCCGGAGACUGGCCCUACUCUUAACUGAGCGGGGUCGGGAAUCGGAUCGUUUACUUUGAAAAAAUCAGAGUGUUUCAAGCAGGCAAUUUGUUCUUGCAUGGAUUAGCAUGGGAUAAUGAAAUAGGACUUUGGUGCUAUUUUGUUGGUUUCGAACACCGAAGUAAUGAUUAACAGGGACAGUCAGGGGCACUCGUAUUCCGCCGAGAGAGGUGAAAUUCUCAGACCAGCGGAAGACGAACUACUGCGAAAGCAUUUGCCAGGGAUGUUUUCAUUGA